AAAUCGGCGAUUUUCCGAUGCGGACGAUACUUCGAAACGUACUUAUCAAGUUCCUGCAAAUUCCUUUGGCUUCGAACAGCCAAAACAUUGUCUCUCUGAGUCUCCAUAAAUCGGCCUAAAUCGCCGAUUUCACGUGAAUCUAAAUGCUUUGAGGAAUACUUGAAUCCGUUAAAAGCUGCCAAAUCUGAAACAAAAAGAUAAGAAUAAACCAUGAAGAUUACACUUGAA